rnacentral:rRNA from 1 species
UCUCCUGGAAACGGGUGGUAAUGCCGGAUGCUCCAGUUGAUCGCAUGGUCUUCUGGGAAAGCUUUCGCGGUAUGGGAUGGGGUCGCGUCCUAUCAGCUUGACGGCGGGGUAACGGCCCACCGUGGCUUCGACGGGUAGCCGGCCUGAGAGGGCGACCGGCCACAUUGGGACUGAGAUACGGCCCAGACUCCUACGGGAGGCAGCAGUGGGGAAUAUUGCACAAUGGGCGCAAGCCUGAUGCAGCGACGCCGCGUGAGGGAUGGAGGCCUUCGGGUUGUAAACCUCUUUUAUCGGGGAGCAAGCGAGAGUGAGUUUACCCGUUGAAUAAGCACCGGCUAACUACGUGCCAGCAGCCGCGGUAAUACGUAGGGUGCAAGCGUUAUCCGGAAUUAUUGGGCGUAAAGGGCUCGUAGGCGGUUCGUCGCGUCCGGUGUGAAAGUCCAUCGCUUAACGGUGGAUCCGCGCCGGGUACGGGCGGGCUUGAGUGCGGUAGGGGAGACUGGAAUUCCCGGUGUAACGGUGGAAUGUGUAGAUAUCGGGAAGAACACCAAUG